AGCGUUAUCCGGAUUUACUGGGCGUAAAGCGUACGUAGGCGGCUUUUUAAGUCGGAUGUGAAAUCCCUGAGCUUAACUUAGGAAUUGCAUUCGAUACUGGGAAGCUAGAGUAUGGGAGAGGAUGGUAGAAUUCCGGGUGUAGCGGUGAAAUGCGUAGAGAUCUGGAGGAAUACCGAUGGCGAAGGCAGCCAUCUGGCCUAAUACUGACGCUGAGGUACGAAAGCAUGGGGAGC
rnacentral:rRNA from 1 species